rfam:Pseudallescheria apiosperma strain IHEM 14462 SEQ_SAPIO_0111, whole genome shotgun sequence.
GCCCUUAUGGCCAAGCGGUAAGGCGUUUCACUCGUACUAGCGACAUGAAAAGAUCCUCGGUUCAAAUCCGAGUGAGGGCA